CCAAGUCUCAAGUCCUUCAAGCUCAACUCAGGACCCUCCACAGAGCCCAAAUCAACCAUUCCAACUUCUUCCAGCAGGGCAAGUACCCAGGCUUAGUGUCACCUAAGACACAGCCACCACCUCCCUGUGCCUAUUAAUGCUUUAGCUCCCUUCCUAAAAUGCCCUCUCAAAGUCUCUCCAUACUCAACACCAAAGCUCCAUUAUACCUCCUCCAUAAAAUGAAGUCUUCCCAUAGAGAUCUCAUCUUCCUCCAACUCAUAACCCUUACUGUGAGGAUCACAUUGUACUUUUUGCUGUACCUUAUAUUACUACUGAAACAAUAUGAUCGUCAAAUUGUACAUUUAUUGAAGGGGGAGCUAGGCAGUAUGCUUCUUGUAGAAAUCCACCACACACACACAGGCAGUGUUAUACACAGCAUAGUUAUUAAAUAAAUGUACAGAAUCAAAUGACCCAAAGUAUCUCCAACAUGUAAGAAAAAAAUUAUCACAUAAUUACCCAUAACUAGACCAUUAUAUGAUCUGACAGCUCAGGUUUAAUCCUAAGAUGAACAGAGUCAUCAAAUACUUUUGGGUCCACGUUGUCUCUUUUUCAGAUCAGACGAGAUUCACAAUUAAAAGAUGUCAGUACUGUGUGUAAUACUAAAUCCUAUCAAAUAUUCAAGUUAUAAUCACCUUGUUCAGUAUAUAUUAGUUUAUUCCAGUGAGGUUUAGUGCUUAUUCAUUAGUUUAUGUAGCUGAGUAGCCUCACUUCACCC